UCCCAGUCCUCCUCAUUCAACUCAUCGUCUCUCUCCGCAUUUCUGCUUCCUGCUGAACGGGCUUUGCCUACACAACACAAAGAUGUGCUCUCGCAGAUCUUGCCACGACCAUGGAUCCUCAUCCCAUGGAUGCCACGGACAUGAAUCAUCCUGCCACGGCUCUAGCUCAUCCAUUCCCUGCGUCAUCGAGAAACCUGUGCCCGUCUGUCCCGUGCAGCCCUGCUGCCCCCCUGUGCAGCAAUGCUGCCCACCCGUGCAAAAGUGCUGCCCACCUGUGAAGUGCUGUCAGCAGAGCAAGCAGUGCUGCAAGUUCCCUCCACAGUGCCCCAAGUAACAGCCACAGCGAUGAGGAGGAUGCCAAGACCUGCCCACUCCAUUCAUCUCCUUGGGAUGGUGGAUUACCUGCUGAAAGCCUCUUCUGUCUGCAUUCACCACCUGUCAUUUGUGUUCUCUUCUUCCAUUUAUGUUCAUCACUAAAUGCCUGUAACAUGCUGGGCAGUUUCAUCCCUGCAUGGAGUGAUAUAUUCUUAUAAGACAUGUUGUGUGGACUUCUGUUUGCUGUGCGUGUAUCAGAGUCUUUCUCCUACCUCAUUUCCUUUUUCAGUCUCAAUUUUGAGAUGCAAAUACAGUAAAGCUGCUCAUUCCUGAAAGCA